GCAGGCACAGACAGGCAGUA
rnacentral:miRNA from 1 species